rnacentral:rRNA from 1 species
UACGUAGGUGGCAAGCGUUGUCCGGAAUUAUUGGGCGUAAAGAGCUCGUAGGCGGUCUGUCGCGUCUGCUGUGAAAACUCAGGGCUUAACCCUGAGCUUGCAGUGGGUACGGGCAGACUAGAGUGCGGUAGGGGGAGACUGGAAUUCCUGGUGUAGCGGUGGAAUGCGCAGAUAUCAGGAGGAACACCGAUGGCGAAGGCAGGUCACUGGGCCGCAACUGACGCUGGAGGAGCGAAAGCAUGGGGAGCAAACAGGAUUAGAACU